GGUUAAGCGACUAAGCGUACACGGUGGAUGCCCUGGCAGUCAGAGGCGAUGAAGGACGUGCUAAUCUGCGAUAAGCGUCGGUAAGGUGAUAUGAACCGUUAUAACCGGCGAUUUCCGAAUGGGGAAACCCAGUGUGAUUCGUCACACUAUCAUUAACUGAAUCCAUAGGUUAAUGAGGCGAACCGGGGGAACUGAAACAUCUAAGUACCCCGAGGAAAAGAAAUCAACCGAGAUUCCCCCAGUAGCGGCGAGCGAACGGGGAGCAGCCCAGAGCCUGAAUCAGUGUGUGUGUUAGUGGAAGCGUCUGGAAAGGCGUGCGAUACAGGGUGACAGCCCCGUACACAAAAAUGCACAUACUGUGAGCUCGAUGAGUAGGGCGGGACACGUGGUAUCCUGUCUGAAUAUGGGGGGACCAUCCUCCAAGGCUAAAUACUCCUGACUGACCGAUAGUGAACCAGUACCGUGAGGGAAAGGCGAAAAGAACCCCGGCGAGGGGAGUGAAAAAGAACCUGAAACCGUGUACGUACAAGCAGUGGGAGCACGCUUAGGCGUGUGACUGCGUACCUUUUGUAUAAUGGGUCAGCGACUUAUAUUCUGUAGCAAGGUUAACCGAAUAGGGGAGCCGAAGGGAAACCGAGUCUUAACUGGGCGUUAAGUUGCAGGGUAUAGACCCGAAACCCGGUGAUCUAGCCAUGGGCAGGUUGAAGGUUGGGUAACACUAACUGGAGGACCGAACCGACUAAUGUUGAAAAAUUAGCGGAUGACUUGUGGCUGGGGGUGAAAGGCCAAUCAAACCGGGAGAUAGCUGGUUCUCCCCGAAAGCUAUUUAGGUAGCGCCUCGUGAAUUCAUCUCCGGGGGUAGAGCACUGUUUCGGCAAGGGGGUCAUCCCGACUUACCAACCCGAUGCAAACUGCGAAUACCGGAGAAUGUUAUCACGGGAGACACACGGCGGGUGCUAACGUCCGUCGUGAAGAGGGAAACAACCCAGACCGCCAGCUAAGGUCCCAAAGUCAUGGUUAAGUGGGAAACGAUGUGGGAAGGCCCAGACAGCCAGGAUGUUGGCUUAGAAGCAGCCAUCAUUUAAAGAAAGCGUAAUAGCUCACUGGUCGAGUCGGCCUGCGCGGAAGAUGUAACGGGGCUAAACCAUGCACCGAAGCUGCGGCAGCGACGCUUAUGCGUUGUUGGGUAGGGGAGCGUUCUGUAAGCCUGCGAAGGUGUGCUGUGAGGCAUGCUGGAGGUAUCAGAAGUGCGAAUGCUGACAUAAGUAACGAUAAAGCGGGUGAAAAGCCCGCUCGCCGGAAGACCAAGGGUUCCUGUCCAACGUUAAUCGGGGCAGGGUGAGUCGACCCCUAAGGCGAGGCCGAAAGGCGUAGUCGAUGGGAAACAGGUUAAUAUUCCUGUACUUGGUGUUACUGCGAAGGGGGGACGGAGAAGGCUAUGUUGGCCGGGCGACGGUUGUCCCGGUUUAAGCGUGUAGGCUGGUUUUCCAGGCAAAUCCGGAAAACUAAGGCUGAGGCGUGAUGACGAGGCACUACGGUGCUGAAGCAACAAAUGCCCUGCUUCCAGGAAAAGCCUCUAAGCAUCAGGUAACAUCAAAUCGUACCCCAAACCGACACAGGUGGUCAGGUAGAGAAUACCAAGGCGCUUGAGAGAACUCGGGUGAAGGAACUAGGCAAAAUGGUGCCGUAACUUCGGGAGAAGGCACGCUGAUAUGUAGGUGAAGCGACUUGCUCGUGGAGCUGAAAUCAGUCGAAGAUACCAGCUGGCUGCAACUGUUUAUUAAAAACACAGCACUGUGCAAACACGAAAGUGGACGUAUACGGUGUGACGCCUGCCCGGUGCCGGAAGGUUAAUUGAUGGGGUCAGCGCAAGCGAAGCUCUUGAUCGAAGCCCCGGUAAACGGCGGCCGUAACUAUAACGGUCCUAAGGUAGCGAAAUUCCUUGUCGGGUAAGUUCCGACCUGCACGAAUGGCGUAAUGAUGGCCAGGCUGUCUCCACCCGAGACUCAGUGAAAUUGAACUCGCUGUGAAGAUGCAGUGUACCCGCGGCAAGACGGAAAGACCCCGUGAACCUUUACUAUAGCUUGACACUGAACAUUGAGCCUUGAUGUGUAGGAUAGGUGGGAGGCUUUGAAGUGUGGACGCCAGUCUGCAUGGAGCCGACCUUGAAAUACCACCCUUUAAUGUUUGAUGUUCUAACGUUGACCCGUGAUCCGGGUUGCGGACAGUGUCUGGUGGGUAGUUUGACUGGGGCGGUCUCCUCCUAAAGAGUAACGGAGGAGCACGAAGGUUGGCUAAUCCUGGUCGGACAUCAGGAGGUUAGUGCAAUGGCAUAAGCCAGCUUGACUGCGAGCGUGACGGCGCGAGCAGGUGCGAAAGCAGGUCAUAGUGAUCCGGUGGUUCUGAAUGGAAGGGCCAUCGCUCAACGGAUAAAAGGUACUCCGGGGAUAACAGGCUGAUACCGCCCAAGAGUUCAUAUCGACGGCGGUGUUUGGCGACCUCGAUGUCGGCUCAUCACAUCCUGGGGCUGAAGUAGGUCCCAAGGGUAUGGCUGUUCGCCAUUUAAAGUGGUACGCGAGCUGGGUUUAGAACGUCGUGAGACAGUUCGGUCCCUAUCUGCCGUGGGCGCUGGAGAACUGAGGGGGGCUGCUCCUAGUACGAGAGGACCGGAGUGGACGCAUCACUGGUGUUCGGGUUGUCAUGCCAAUGGCACUGCCCGGUAGCUAAAUGCGGAAGAGAUAAGUGCUGAAAGCAUCUAAGCACGAAACUUGCCCCGAGAUGAGUUCUCCCUGACUCCUUGAGAGUCCUGAAGGAACGUUGAAGACGACGACGUUGAUAGGCCGGGUGUGUAAGCGCAGCGAUGCGUUGAGCUAACCGGUACUAAUGAACCGUGAGGCUUAACCUU
rnacentral:rRNA from 1 species